rnacentral:tRNA from 1 species
AUUUAAUUAGUUUAAAAUAUAUAAUCCUUAAAACAAUAUAUUUUCAAUAUAUAAAUAAUUUUAAAAUUAUUAAAUA